rnacentral:rRNA from 1 species
CGUAGAUCAGCUAUGCUACGGUGAAUACGUUCCCGGGUCUUGUACUCACCGCCCGUCACACCAUGGGAGUUGAUUUCACCCGAAAUCGGGAUGCCAAACUGGCUACCGCUUACGGUGGAAUUAGCGACUGGGGUGAAGUCGUAACAAGGUAACCGUAGGAGAACCUGCGGUUGGAUCACCUCCUUU